rnacentral:rRNA from 1 species
UGGGGAAUUUUGGACAAUGGGCGCAAGCCUGAUCCAGCCAUGCCGCGUGCGGGAAGAAGGCCUUCGGGUUGUAGACCGCUUUUGUCAGGGAAGAAAUCUUCUGAGUUAAUACCUCGGGAGGAUGACGGUACCUGAAGAAUAAGCACCGGCUAACUACGUGCCAGCAGCCGCGGUAAUACGUAGGGUGCAAGCGUUAAUCGGAAUUACUGGGCGUAAAGCGUGCGCAGGCGGUUUUGUAAGACAGAGGUGAAAUCCCCGGGCUCAACCUGGGAACUGCCUUUGUGACUGCAAGGCUUGAGUGCGGCAGAGGGGGAUGGAAUUCCGCGUGUAGCAGUGAAAUGCGUAGAUAUGCGGAGGAACACCGAUGGCGAAGGCAAUCCCCUGGGCCUGCACUGACGCUCAUGCACGAAAGCGUGGGGAGCAAACAGGAUUAGAUAGCCCUGGUAGUCCACGCCCUAAACGAUGUCAACUGGUUGUUGGGAAGGUUCCUUCUCAGUAACGUAGCUAACGCGUGAAGUUGACCGCCUGGGGAGUACGGCCGCAAGGUU